ACUAUUAGGGGAUAAAUCACCCUUCUCACAGCAAAAUUUACAAGGAGAUGCUAUGGAUCGUGAUGAAGAGACUGCUCGGAUUCAAUAUUUGGCAGAGAUUGCUAAGUUUCUCGGUAUCACUACAACUAUUGACACAGAAGCUAUCCAAGGGCGUGGAAGUUAUGAGGAUCGAACUGAAAUGCUUCAGCUAAUAGUAGAUCUUGUGGAGGCGAGCAUAUAUGCUGAUAAUCCAGAAUGGAGUGUUGAUGAGCAGGUGGCAAAAGACAUACAGUUAAUAGAUUCUAUUGCAGAAAAACAGUCUCUAAUUUUCUCAGAGGAAUGCAAGUUGUUCCCUGCAGAUGUGCAGAUUCAAUCUAUAUAUCCAUUGUAAGAUUAUGCUUUCAUACGCUGCCAAUUAUCAUUUUCUCCGUUGUUUUAAACAAUAUAAAGCAUUUAUUCGAUCAUCCUGAAAUGAUUUAUAUAUUUAAGCUUGCUCCCACAUGGAUAAUGUCGACAAGCUGGAUAAUCUUUCAAUUUGAGGACUGUCUAUAAUUACCUGUGAAUUUUGGCCAUUUUUGUAGAUUGAAUGUCAUUGUGUAGUCCCAGACAAAACAUAAACAUCUUUCAAUCAAUUUGGAAAAAAAUUACUGGCACAAGAUGAUGUCAAACAUCUAUCAUGCUAUGAUUAUUUUUUCAUUGCAUGUGAUGUAGUAACAUCCUGUUCCUUUCAUCAAAGUACAUUUGCAGACCUGAUGUAUCUGAGCUGGAAACAAAACUUUCAGAGCAAUCAAAGAUACUAUUGAAUCUUCAGCAGAAAGUUGAUGAUUUGGCAUCAAAGGUUUAUCUCAGUUCCUUCGCAUUUGGAUCCUGAUUUGAAAAUUUGUGCUCUUUCACCUUUUUACCUCUUAUUUUUCUUCCCUGGAGAAUUCUCACAACUUAUUUUUAAAAGCAAGCUUUUGCUGAAUACUCAUAUUCUUCUGUUGGAGAGCAGUUCCAAUUCUUUUCUGUACCAUGACCACAUUUUACUGUACUCCCAAUAUCAUCAUGUUAUGUAAUUCUAUUUCCCGCCACCUUGGGCCCAAUUCCUGUUAACUUUGUGAACUUUUUUCUUUAGCAUGCUUACAAUCCAGAUGAGGAAUAUACAGAGGUGGAAUCCCAACUGCGGUCACAUUUGGAAUCUUUUCUAGAAACUGCAAGACAAUUCAAUGUGAUUUACACCAAGGUCUUCUUUUCCCUUACUUGAGCCUAGUCAAACAAAGAAUUAUUCCCUUAUUAUUAUGUUUGAUCUCUCUAUUUUGUUCUUAUUGCUUAUCUCAAUGGAGAAAAGAAAGAAAACAAAAAGAGGUGGAUUACUAUGAUGUAUUCAGUAAUCAGUAUGAUGAAUUAGCUUGCUUUUCCUCAACUUGUUUGCUAUAUUUUUUGGCUUGAUUGGCUAUCACUUUUUGGUUGAAACGCUUUAAGACCUUCGCGAUAUCAAUCUUAUGCUAGAAUUAUUAGCUGAAAACUUUAAUCUUGACUUUUAAGUAGAUGCUUAAAAGUCAUUCUGUGGAGUUUUAUUGUACAAGCUGAUAUCUUUGUACAUUUUGGCUAUCAUGUUUGUUUAGGAAAUUCGCCCAUGGACACACAUGAUGGAGGUGCCACAACUUCAUGGGUUUGGGCCAGCUGCUAAUCGCUUGUUGGAGGCAUACAAGAUGCUUUUGAAGGUAUAUUAGUAUCAAAUCCAUUUUGAUGUUCUGCUGCUUGAACUAUUGUAUUGUGUGAAUUUAAUUUUAUCUCAAAUAUCAGCAAUUUCAUGAAUCUGGCUAUAUUGAUAUGUCACUGAUGUAAUAGUACUAUACAACAUUUUAUUUUUAAACUUGAAUGUAUUGAUGCUAAUCAAUCCAAUAUUUGUGACCAACUGGACUCGGUAAAAUUAGCUGGUUAAUCAGUUUAAUUACAGAAGUGUUCCAACUUAAUGUCCAGACUGGUAUCUGACCUGACAGGCUGGUUCAGAUUUAACAACUAUGGUUGGGCAACCAGUAAAACGGCGUUAAUAGUUAGCCCAGCUUGGGCAUCUUUCAAGAGUCUAGUUUAUUCGUGAAAAUUUCAUUUGUUUUGCGCCAUAUAGUUGACUUACAUGGUUGAAUGUUAAAUUUGGGUACUCCAAAUAACAUGCUGGCCCAAAGAUUACUUUGCAACCCAUUACUAUUGGGGAGUUACUUUCUGACGUCCGCACUUUUCUGCAUCAUAUGAAUUUUUGAAGAUAGUGCAUUUUUAGUUCAAAGUCCUUCACAAAUUACAAUAGCCUUUUUUUAUAUAGACGCUAGAGACUAGACCAAACGCAUCUAACCUUCAGAUAAACUCCCUGCUCAAUUACUCUAGUUUUUGUUGCUUCUCUUCAGAAGAGUAAAGAAUUAGUAAUGGUUAAUUUUUUUAGUUUUAUAAAAUGCUAGGUGUGGUUGUACAUUGUUUAUUUUACUGUCGGAAUUAUCUAUGUUCUGCUUUUAUGGCAGUUUUUGGGGAACUUGAGGAAUCUCAGAGAUUCACAUGCAGCUCUGUCUGUUGGUUCCUCUGAAACAAUAGCUGGUGAACCCUCUUCAGUUACAAGAAUAAUUUCAGAGUGUGAGUCUGCAUUGACUUUCUUAAAUCGUGAUCUUGGAAUCCUGUCAGCUUCAAUUGCACGUGAGCGAGGUAAUGAUGCAACUCUAUGAUGAAUGCAGUACAAGAUAGGCACUUACCAACAUGAUCUCUUGA
rnacentral:misc_RNA from 1 species